CCUACGGGAGGCAGCAGUGAGGAAUAUUGGUCAAUGGGCUUACGCCUGAACCAGCCAAGUCGCGUGAGGGAAGACUGCCCUAUGGGUUGUAAACCUCUUUUGUCAGGGAGCAAUUGGCGCUACGUGUAGCGUUAUCGAGAGUACCUGAAGAAAAAGCAUCGGCUAACUCCGUGCCAGCAGCCGCGGUAAUACGGAGGAUGCGAGCGUUAUCCGGAUUUAUUGGGUUUAAAGGGUGCGUAGGCGGAAUGCCAAGUCAGCGGUAAAAUCGCGGGGCUCAACCUCGCUCCGCCGUUGAAACUGGCGGUCUUGAGUGGGCGAGAAGUAUGCGGAAUGCGUGGUGUAGCGGUGAAAUGCAUAGAUAUCACGAAGAACUCCGAUUGCGAAGGCAGCAUACCGGCGCCCAACUGACGCUGAAGCACGAAAGCGUGGGUAUCGAACAGGAUUAGAUACCCGGGUAGUC
rnacentral:rRNA from 1 species